AUUGAACGCUGGCGGCAGGCCUAACACAUGCAAGUCGAGCGAGCGGCGGACGGGUGAGUAAUGUCUGGGAAACUGCCUGAUGGAGGGGGAUAACUACUGGAAACGGUAGCUAAUACCGCAUACCAUCAGAUGUGCCCAGAUGUGAUUAGCUAGUAGGUGGGGUAACGGCUCACCUAGGCGACGAUCCCUAGCUGGUCGGAGAGGAUGACCAGCCAACCUGUAACUGAGACACGGUCCAGAUUCCUACGGGAGGAAGCAGUGGGGAAUAUUGCACAAUGGGCGCAAGCCUGAUGCAGCCAUGACGCGUGUGGGAAGAAGGCCUUCGGGUUGUAAAGCACUUUCAGCGGGGAGGCGUUACCCGCAGAAGAAGCACCGGCUAACUCCGUGCCAGCAGCCGCGGUAAUAC
rnacentral:rRNA from 1 species